AGAAUCAACGCUGGCGGCGUGCCUAACACAUGCAAGUCGAACGGGAAAGUGGAGCAAUCCAUGAGUAUAGUGGCGACCGGGUGAGUAACACGUGACUACCUACCCUUGAGUGGGGGAUAACCUCGGGAAACCGAGGCUAAUACCGCAUAAUAUCGAAAGAUCAAAGGAGUAAUCCGCUUUUGAGGGGUCGCGGCUGAUUAGCUAGUUGGUAAGGUAAUGGCUUACCAAGGCGAAGAUCGGUA
rnacentral:rRNA from 1 species